rnacentral:rRNA from 1 species
UACGUAGGGGGCAAGCGUUGUCCGGAUUUAUUGGGCGUAAAGAGCGUGUAGGCGGCCAAGCAGGUCCGCUGUGAAAACUCGAGGCUCAACCUCGAGACGUCGGUGGAAACCGUUUGGCUAGAGUCCGGAAGAGGAGAGUGGAAUUCCCGGUGUAGCGGUGAAAUGCGCAGAUAUCGGGAGGAACACCGGUGGCGAAGGCGGUUCUCUGGGCCUUACCUGACGCUGAGGAGCGAAAGCGUGGGGAGCGAACAGG